rnacentral:rRNA from 1 species
AUUGAACGCUGGCGGCAUGCUUUACACAUGCAAGUCGAACGGUAACAGGGAGCUUGCUCCGCUGACGAGUGGCGAACGGGUGAGUAAUGCAUCGGAACGUACCCAGUCGUGGGGGAUAACGUAGCGAAGUUACGCUAAUACCGCAUACGUCCUGAGGGAGAAAGCGGGGGACCGUAAGGCCUCGCGCGAUUGGAGCGGCCGAUGUCGGAUUAGCUAGUUGGUAGGGUAAAGGCCUACCAAGGCGACGAUCCGUAGCGGGUCUGAGAGGAUGAUCCGCCACACUGGGACUGAGACACGGCCCAGACUCCUACGGGAGGCAGCAGUGGGGAAUUUUGGACAAUGGGCGAAAGCCUGAUCCAGCCAUGCCGCGUGAGUGAAGAAGGCC